AGAGUUUGAUCAUGGCUCAGGAUGAACGCUGGCGGCGUGCCUAAUACAUGCAAGUCGAACGCACUUUCGUUGAAUGAAUUAGAGGUGCUUGCACCGAAGAUGAUUUUAGCUAUAAAGUGAGUGGCGAACGGGUGAGUAACACGUGGGUAACCUGCCCAGAAGUGGGGGAUAACACCUGGAAACAGAUGCUAAUACCGCAUAACAAAGUAAACCGCAUGGUUUACUUUUAAAAGAUGGCUUCGGCUAUCACUUCUGGAUGGACCCGCGGCGUAUUAGCUAGUUGGUGAGAUAAAGGCUCACCAAGGCAGUGAUACGUAGCCGACCUGAGAGGGUAAUCGGCCACAUUGGGACUGAGACACGGCCCAGACUCCUACGGGAGGCAGCAGUAGGGAAUCUUCCACAAUGGACGAAAGUCUGAUGGAGCAACGCCGCGUGAGUGAUGAAGGCUUUAGGGUCGUAAAACUCUGUUGUUGGAGAAGAACGUGUGUGAGAGUAACUGCUCAUGCAGUGACGGUAUCCAACCAGAAAGCCACGGCUAACUACGUGCCAGCAGCCGCGGUAAUACGUAGGUGGCAAGCGUUAUCCGGAUUUAUUGGGCGUAAAGCGAGCGCAGGCGGUCUUUUAAGUCUAAUGUGAAAGCCUUCGGCUUAACCGAAGAAGUGCAUUGGAAACUGGAAGACUUGAGUGCAGAAGAGGACAGUGGAACUCCAUGUGUAGCGGUGAAAUGCGUAGAUAUAUGGAAGAACACCAGUGGCGAAGGCGGCUGUCUGGUCUGUAACUGACGCUGAGGCUCGAA
rnacentral:rRNA from 1 species